GACGAACCGUGCGAACGUUGUUCGGAAUCACUGGGCUUAAAGGGCGCGUAGGCGGACUCUCAAGUCUGUGGUGAAAUCCCCCGGCUCAACCGGGGAACUGCCGUGGAUACUGGGAGUCUCGAGGGGUGUAGGGGCAUGCGGAACUUCGGGUGGAGCGGUGAAAUGCGUAGAUAUCCGAAGGAACGCCGGUGGCGAAAGCGGCGUGCUGGACACCUUCUGACGCUGAGGCGCGAAAGCCAGGGGAGCAAACGGGAUUAGAUACCCCGGUAGUCCUGGCCCUAAACGAUGGGUACUAGAUUGUAGACUGGACAUGGGUUUACAAUCGAAGCAAAAGUGAUAAGUACCCCGCCUGGGGAGUAUGGUCGCAAGGCUGAA
rnacentral:rRNA from 1 species